rnacentral:tRNA from 1 species
GAGGGUACACUGAAGUGGUAGAGCGCAUGCUUAGCAUGCAUGAGGUCUGGGUUCAAUCCCCAGUACCUCCU